UCCAGAAUGGCCAUAACCACCUGGAACAUGCCCAAAUUUAUCUGAUCUCAGAAGCUAAGCAAGGUCGGGCCUGUUUACUAAUUAUAUGGGAAACCUUAGGUGUUUUUGGAA
rnacentral:rRNA from 1 species